GAUGAACGCUGGCGGCGUGCUUAACACAUGCAAGUCGAACGGAGUUUUGUAAAUUGAAGGAAGUAGCUUGCUACCUACAGAUUUUUUAUAAAACUUAGUGGCGGACGGGUGAGUAACGCGUGGGUAACCUGCCGUAUACAGGGGGACAACAGUUGGAAACGACUGCUAAUACCGCAUAAGCGCACAGUACCGCAUGGUACAGUGUGAAAAACUCCGGUGGUAUACGAUGGACCCGCGUCUGAUUAGCUAGUUGGUGAGGUAACGGCCCACCAAGGCGACGAUCAGUAGCCGGCCUGAGAGGGUGGACGGCCACAUUGGGACUGAGACACGGCCCAA
rnacentral:rRNA from 1 species